GGGGCUGUAGCUCAGUGGUAGAGCACCCGUCUUGCACGUGUGAGGCACUGGGUUUGAUCCUCAGCACCA
rnacentral:tRNA from 1 species